rnacentral:rRNA from 1 species
UACUUGACUGGACCGAAACCGGGCGACCUACCCAUGAGCAGGAUGAAGGAAAGUAAAAUUUCGUGGAGGUCCGAACCCACGAGCGUUGAAAAGCUCGGGGAUGACUUGUGGGUAGCGGUGAAAUUCCAAUCGGGCCCGGAGAUAGCUGGUUCUCCCCGAAAUAGCUUUAGGGCUAGCCUCAAGGUGAGAGAUACGGAGGUAGAGCACUGAAUGUCCUAGGGGGUAUUGCACCUACCGAAGACUAUCAAACUCCGAAUGCCGUCAUCUUAUACUUGGGAGUCAGACUGUGGGUGAUA